rnacentral:rRNA from 1 species
CCCUUAGAUGUUCUGGGCCGCACGCGCGCUACACUGAUGCAUUCGACGAGUCUAAAACCUGCUCUGAUAGGGGUGGGUAAUCUUUUGAAUGUGCAUCGUGAUUGGGAUAGAUGAUUGCAAUUUUUCAUCUUCAACGAGGAAUGCCUAGUAAACGCAAGUCAUCAGCUUGCAUUGAUUACGUCCCUGCCCUUUGUACACACCGCCCGUCGCUCCUACCGAUUGAAUGAUCCGAUGAAUAUCAUGGAUUGAGGAUGCAAGCAGGUUCGCCUGUCUUCAUCUUCGAGAAGUGAAGUAAAUCUUAUCAUUUAGAGGAAGGAGAAGUCGUAACA